GAAAUGCGAUAAGUAAUGUGAAUUGCAGAAUUCAGUGAAUCAUCGAAUCUUUGAACGCACAUUGCGCCCUUUGGCAUUCCGAGGGGCAUGCCUGUUCGAGCGUCAUUACACCACUCAAGCCUGGCUUGGUAUUGGGCGAUGAGGCCUCCUCACGCCCCAAUUUCACCGGCUGGACGACCCGAUUCUCAGCGUUGUGGCAUCAGAUUCGCUGGCGGAGAGGGGCGGACCGCGCCGUUAAAACUUCCAUCAAAGGUUGACCUCGGAUCAGGUAGGGAUACCCGCUGAACUUAA
rnacentral:misc_RNA from 1 species